ensembl:snoRNA
CAUACUUGUGUGAUUUUGUUGAACUGAUAGAUAAUGACAUAAAAGAUAGGUGCAAAAAUAAAUCUUUUGCAACCCAGAGCUCUUUGUUUAGUAUAAGUUUUGAUAAAUACAAGAAGGAAUAUG